GUGCUCGCUUCGCCAGCACAUAUACUAAAAUUGGAAUGAUACAGAGAAGAUUAGCAUGGCCCCUGCGCAAGGAUGACAAAAUAAUCAUCCUGAUUAU
rnacentral:snRNA from 1 species